UUGAGCUAUGUGCUCACACGGUCUCUCACAGGGUGAUGAAGCCAGGUCAAAUAAAAAAGUUUCUGCUAAAGUUUAGGAUAAUGUUGUGAUGAUUUGUUUUCCAGCCAGGCCUCACUGUGAGCUUUUGAGAGUCCAAUUAAAACAUAUUACAAUCCAGGAUUUUGCAAAGCUGUCAAGUCUCAGCUCUUUGUUUGGCAUCUGAUCUCCAUUUCCACAUGCAAAUCACUCACACGCACAGAUUAAUAAGUCACAACGGCUACUCUGGAUGCAUCCAGCUCCCUUUGUGUCAGCACUUUGCUUACUAAGCAGCCCUUGGUCUUUAGGAAUUAAUGAAAACUAAUGAAGUGUCUGAAAGUGUCGCCUGGUUUUUAUUUCAAGCGCCGGAAGCCCAAAAUCCUACAGUAUUACCAUCAUGUUAAGUGUUUUAAUGGCACUUAGAUUAAAGGACAGAUCACACAGGCUGAACUUUAAACACAGUCCCUAUCAAGGGGAGACGGCUACUUCACAUUUAAUCUGAUUUUCAGUCCUGAUCAAACAUUCUCUAGUGUCUACAUUUUGUCGAAGUUUUAGACCUAGUUUGGAGAAAUUAAAAGCUGGGGUAGGCAGGAUUCCAUUAAAGAAGCAUCUUUUUUGUGGUAUAUAGACAAAAAAGCCAUAGUCAUAGCUAUUAGUUAUUGAUGACAUUUGGUAAUAUAAUGAUAUCGCUGUGUUUUGUUAUGUCUGUGUAGUCAACAUUUAAAAAUUUUGAGAGGCCCGCCCUUUCUGACUGUAAACAAAGCCACUCUCCACCUCCCCCAACCUUACUGGUUGUGAGGCAGACGCUGCUCCCCCGUGUCGUUCACGAGCCCAAACAAAGUUAACGCGCGACAAUACCGGACAGUAGAAACCAACCAGAAAGUAUGAAAAAUUUUCUGAAUCCUCCUUUGGCCACGACUGUCAACACAAGCAAGAAAACAAAGUAAAUACCGGAGACCCUGGCGGCAUAACAGGCGCUUAAAAUGGAGGUAGACCACCUAGACAAGAGCUAAAAAGCCGGGUCAACAUCAGCAUAAACGAUGGGGGACACUUUGGGGUCAUACGGACCCUGUAACCUUUCUGCUGGACAGGUAAACCGCUUUAACAAAGUAAGACAAGUGUCUGUAACAGAAGUGUUUCUUGCCAAACGGACCUGCUGUAGCGUGUUGUAGCGCCGCUAAACUGUUUACCUCGGGUCCUGGGCUAUGUCACUUUAUCCUAGUUGUAGAAGUCCUGUAAUGUUGAUUGCUCACUGAGUAUUGAUAAUAAAUUGCUAAUAGUCAAUGUUUCAAUCCUAUAACUUUUUAAAACUGAUUUUAUGUCAAUUUUAGUGUCUCGGUUCAGGACUGAAAUAAGGUCACAGCUUGAACACUUUGUGCAUACUACUUGACUUUGAUGCCGUUCAACCUCGUUGGUUUCACGACCUCCCAGAAUGUCAGCAGAUGGAAGCAGGAAGACACUGCGGCAGCUUGACUACGAUGAGCUGAAUGGGACAAAAUAGCUAUAACACAUUAUUUCCAGACCUUGAUUACACACUGAUUAAGGCUGGUUUUAGGCCAAGCUCCUAGCUUUCGCGUCAUAUUAACCUGAUGUACUUAAAAGCUAUAUCAAUCUCCUCGCCACAACCAGAAGACAGAUUGUCCUGGUUUAAAAGCUCCCUGACAGAGGAGCAUCGGGACUUCUCUUAACAUACUGUACCAUGAUUUGUGUUGAUAAAUAGACUGAACUGUUGCCAACGCCUCCAUUUGACCAUAUCAGUAUUCCCGCCGCGGUCACUUCUCCUUCAGCCUCUGAGUGUAGAAACAACAUUGGGACCGGCAUGUGAAUGAAAUAUCCACCUUUUCACAUGCGACAGUACCAUCGGCACGAAUCCUUUUGUCUUCCGGCUUGUUUAAACAUAAUGCGACUUUGUCUGCUGCCACGGCUCAAAUAUGAAGCGGGCGCUCCUCUGACGUUGAGUGAUUGUCCCGUCUUCAUAUCUGUCAGGCAGCACAGCCGUAGAUUCAUCACAACUCUCGGGGCUUUGUUCCGCUGGAGCUUGGCACGCUCUCUGCCUUUGGAUUGGAGUGUCUGUGUUUGUUCCAGAUCGAAAAUUAGAGAUCAGACUGAGGCAUUUCUGCACCUGUAUCCCCUUCACAUCUCAUCUCAUCUCUCCGGCUUUCUCUCUCUUUGCCUCCCAGACGCACUUACUAGGUUUCAUUUGCAUGCGCCAAGUUAAAACUGCGCCGGGGUGCAUUUUUCAUGUAUGUAAAAAUGCACCUGUGUCAGGAUUUGGAAGUACCAGCUCAGUCGUCUGCAUGUCAGUGUUUGUGAGUCUCAUUAGUUCUGUGAAUAACUCAUUAUCUGGCCCCCUGAGUCUCCAGUUUUAACACGAACCUUAUCCAAAGUUCGUGUCUUUGAGCAGGAUGCCUCACCUUCACCUGCCGCCUUAAACCAUCACGAUGUGUUUGAGCAGCAGCUGGCAGGUGUGAACGAGUCAGACUGUGUGAAUGUGAAGAUGAGCAUCACGAACACUGACUCAGCUCAGCUCAAAAGGCACUGUUUGGUCUUAUGUGUGCUCACCUUGGUGUGAAACGAGCGUGGAGUAUGUUUGGUUUUUUUAACUCAUUCAUCAAGAUACAACAAGGACUAAUGCUGCGUUUCAGGACCUUAAGAGUUUUACUUGCAUUUGCAUAAUUAGGAGUGUGGCUAAGUUGAUUGAUAUGGCUCAAGGAUGUCCAGUUGAUAAUCCCUUUUAGACAUUUUAGUAUUUUGUUCAUUUUUGUUAAUAAAAGCCUCGACCUAAAUGUCUCAAUUGACAGAAGCCAAUUGAGUAAACUUGAAGUGAAUGCUGAGUUUGGUUUAAAAGAGACAUAAGCUGUCCUUUGACUCCAUAAGAGGACCCUGGAGGGAUCCCCUCCUAGAGAAAUGAUGAAGCUUCAGUUUGCCUUGCCCUCUGAAAAACAUAACACGGAGUGGCUCUUGAAUUCAAGUGUUCUUUGGGACUUUAAAUGCAUUUUAAACGCUUUUCACGUCGUUGAAUUAAUGACCGUUCCUCAAGAGUCCAGGCACAUCCCCACAUGUGGAGGAAGGGGAGGCGGGGAGUGUGACUGCUGCCAUCUGCGGUGUUUCGGUCUCAUAUUUUCUGCUCUCCAGAGGCAGCAGUCAAUUAUUCUGCUCCUGGUUUUUGAAGCAAACCGACUGUCACCACAGGUGGUGACAUCGACCUCUGACCCCUUAAGGGGGGAGAAGCCAGGGCGAGGCUGUCAAACAGGAGGAGACCUUGUGGACUACGGUACAUAAAGAAAGCAGAAGGGAGGCUAAGAUAGGACCGGCACCAAAUUAGGAGGGCUUUAAUGUUGGUGUUUGUUAGAUUUUUCAAUUUGUCCCACUAUUUCACUCAUAUUUAAGAAUCACUCUGGGCCUGCUCCACCGGCAGCAGAUAAGAAGCUUAAACUGUGAACACAAAGUUUUUACACAUAAAUGGGAUUAAUUUCAUCAAUGUGAGCAGACAAAGGAAAUCUGAGCUCUUUAUGUCCUCUGAAACUCACCAACGGGUAACACUCACUUUGUCUACCCCCAUUUUUUCCUAUUAGCCACUUGUACGUCCCUGAUGAGACACACUUUUGCCGUUUUCUUUCAUGUGGUCUUGGACUAUGGCGAAGUACUCAGUGUGGGUGGCGCUUAGUCUAGAGUUUGGGCUAGGUCCUGAACCCCAUUUAGGAAAAGGGUUAGGGUUUGGUCUAGGACAAGGUUAAGGACUAAGAUCAGGAUAGAGCCAGGGCCUGUGUGUGGCAUCUGUUUGGAAAAGGUCUAGACAUAAGGUUGGGUUUGGUCCUUUACACGGGUUAAAACAGGACUAGGGUUCAAAUUGAUCAAGGACAAUGGACUGAUAUAUGUUUGGAGUGAGUACUCGGCCUAGGACAAGGGCUAGAAUAAGACUAGGGUAGGGUUUAGUCUAGGACCAUAAUUAGUUUCAGGCCUUGUCUAGGAUUACAAUAAGGAAUGGGGUUGGGAUUUCGGUUUUUGACAAAGGCAAGGUGUUUUGAGUGCGGCCAGGUCAAGUUCAGGAAAAAGGUCAGGGUUGAGGUUUGGUCUCAAUGGCAAGAAUUAGACUGGGGCUGGACUUGGUCUGGAACUACAGUUAAGACUUACUUAGGGUUGGUUUUAGUUCAGGUCUAAACAAAGGAAUAUGGUUGUGAUUCAGGUGGUCUAGGACUAUCUUUAUGAAUAAAAAUGGGGCGUGUGUAUGGUAAUGGGUAAAGCAAUUUGGUUGGGAUUUGAGAUCAUCUGGGACAAGGUCAAGAAUUCACCUUGGGCUUGGUCUAGGACUAAGAUUAGGAUUAGGGUUGGUGUUUGGGUUUGGUCAAGAGCCAUAACAAAGAAUAAUACCAGGGUUGAACUCGAUCUCGGACUAUGGUUGGGUUUUUGGUUAGGUGAUGGGGUAUGGUAACUAUUUAAGGUGUUGUUGUAGGGGGUCUGUCAGGGUUAACGUUUACACAUAGGCCGGUUUUAGAUGGUUAUGGUCCAGGUCAAGUUAGGACUUGGUUUUGAUAUAAUAGGAAGUCUAAAACCCUCAAAUUUAGACCUGUAAAGCCAGUAAGAUAAGUUUCUAAGAGCUUCUUAACAGUGCCCUGCGGGACCAGACUGUAUGGCUAGAUUUCUUUUCUCCGGUCUUACAGCUGAUUUAAAUCUGUUUUUUUCUGGAAUGUAAAAGCAAGAAUGAAUCAUUCCUAAUUGGCUGUGAAGCAGCAGCGGGUACUUCAAUUAAUAAUUAACUUUAAAUGUCUGUGUCUUCGCAAAAACAACACUAUCAAUAUUUUCUGUCCAAUAACAGUGAUAUUAAAAUACUAUACCACAGAGAAUAGUAGGAAUGAACAUUAUAUUUCAAAGUGUAUCCAAAAAGCAGAUACUUCGUCUUGAAAAACACGGGCCUCGUGUGGGUUCUCGGAAUUAAUACUUAAUGUCAAUCAAUAAUUAAUACCCUCAUUGGCUCAGUGUGAUAGUUGUGGAUACAGCCGUAAUUUUACAGAACCACAGAGUGCUCUUUGGCCUCAUGACUCAUUGAAAAAGUUCAACUUUGAGAAAGUUGUACUUAUAAAUAUUAGUAUUUGGAAUAUUUUGGGAGUACAAAUAAGAGACCGUCGGUUCGAUGUGUUAAAAAAUUGAGUUUGAAGACUUGGUUUUGUGGUCUAUGGUGCCCAUAAAUAACUCCCUUUAAAUGCAUAACGAGUGAAGAAAGGUCACUGUAUUUGUAGGUAAAUGAGAAUCGCUCCGAGGGAUUCAGUUUUUUUUGUCAAAUGUAUUGAUCGUGGCUGGUUUCUGUCUGGACCUGUGUUUGUCUAUAACCCAGAAAUAGUAGAAUAGAUGAGAACACAUGAUGGUGGAUGAAUGGUGUUUGUGUUGAGCCUGUGUAUCUUGGAGCGUCCAAAAUGAGAAUGAAUGAUGGCAGCAGAAUGAUUGGACAUCGCUGGUGUUUUGUUUUCAUUUGCUCUAAUCAAUUUCAGGGCCAAGUUUCCACUCGCACACACACACAUACACUCACAUACACACACACACUUGUUUACCAAUGGAAAUGUCACAUUAAUUUUGCCAACCAUUAGUUAUAAGACGUCUCACCGAGAAACGAUGAAACAUUUGAACUACUGUGAAUGAACGGAUGACAGUUUUAACAGGCAAAUAAAUAAGACAAGUUAGAGAGAAUCAAUUUUGGCAUUUUGAUAGAUCUGCUGAAAACAUUUCCUGGAUAUUGUUGCUGAAUGAGGCCGACAGCAAAGUUCACAAGGCACUGAAACUGAAAUUAAAGAGAAAUUUUAUUGCAGGGAGGAGAACAAAUGGCAUUUGAGUCCACAUUUCCUGUAUGGAAUAGUACGGCACUAUAACUUAGUGAUGUGCAUGUAGUAUUAGAACUUAGUGUUAUGCUUAGAGACGCUGCACCUGGAUAAACUAACUGACACGCUCAAAAAGUUGCCUCUUGUGAAUAAAAGCCAGAAUCAAAUAGUCCUGCAUCAUUUUUUAAAUUCUUCCUAAAUACAAGUGAUUACUGUAAAAGUUACAGUCUGGAAGAACAAUGUAGUGUGAAAAUAGUGUUCUCUGUUAUAUCAUAUCAAUAAUGUCUCAUAUAUCAUAUCAAACAUAUUACAAUUUUGUGGUCUUAAGGUAAAAAAACAGAGACACUGACAACAACAUUUUGUCAUGAUAUCAUAUCAGACAAAAUCAUUUCAUAUCAAAUUCCGUCAGUCAUGUAAUGUCACAUAAAAUUUAACAAAAUCAUUUUCUAUCAUAAUUUAUCAUCUGAUAUCAUGUCAUAGCACACAUCAUAUCAAUCUCAAAUCGUUCUAAACAUCAUAUUAUGAUAUAUCAUAUCAUAUAAUUACAUAUAUUAUUAUAUAUGUUAUAUUAUCAUACCUUAUUAAAUCAUAUAAUAUACUAAAUUUUAUCAUAUAAUAUAUCAUAGCAUAUCACAUAUUACAUUAUAUUAUAUUACAUUAUAUUAUUUUAUAUUAUAUUAUAUCAUUUAUCAUAUAUAUCAUACCAUAUCAUAUCAUAUAUUAUAUAAAAGCUUAUACCAUAAUUUCAUAUCAUAUUAUAUACUAUAUCAACGUAUAUCAUAUUAUUUAAUAUUCCAUAUCAUAUAUGAUAUUAUAUUUUGAUAUAUUAUAUUAUAACUUAUCAUAGCAUAUCAUUUCAUAUCAUUACAUAUUACAUCAUAUUGUAUCAUAUUAUAUCAUAUUGUGUAUUAUAUCAAAUCGAUCAAAUCAUAUACCAUAUGAUACCACAACAGUGCAUUAAUUUUGUAAAACUUUAUGCUCUGAUAUCUGAACUUGCGAGUACUUCACACUUUGGGUCACAAUAUAUUGUAUGGUACUGUUUUACAGCACAGCAUAGGUUAGGGUAUCCUAAUGUAUAGUUUAGUAUCAAACUGUAUUUUAGAGGAUCAUAUUUGAUUGUAGAGUAUCUUAUUUCAUCUUAGAGUAUAAACUAGUAUAAUUGAGUUUUGUAUUUAUUCUAUAUUUUAUUGUAUUGUAUUGCAGCUUAUUCUAUUAUAUUCAAUCCUAUUGCGCAUAAAACCAGUAAAACCUUUACUUGACAGUCACCCUGUUAUGUAAUAAAAGUAUAAAGUACUACACAUUCUAUGAUGGCCAUAUAUUGACCUGAAUUUAAAAAAAAAAUCCAACUACAUGAAUAAAAUACUGAAAACAGAUUGUGUGCUUUGGGAAAAUGGCAGGUAGUGAUGCACAUAACUCUUCGGUAAUGGGUUAGGACACGUAAAAAGCAGCCGUAUGAGAGCAUCCAGUCCAUUAACCUUCAGUGGUUUUAGACGCCAACAGGAAAAGGAGCCGCUGACACACUCUGAGGGAAAAGCAGUGAGGGGUAGAGGUGGUUAUGGAGUAAAUUAACCUGACACACACUGUUGUCAGCUCUCGUAUUAAGAAUAAAAGCCUCAGUGUGGCACACAGGCGCUGUUAGGAUCAGAUGUCACAACUUUAUUAAGUCAGAGCCAGCUGGAAAUGAAAAUGUUUGACCUAAAAAAUUGAAUUGUCCUCUUUGAGAAGGGGACAAAACUAGAUCUGUGGUAGCACACUGAACCGCCGGAUAAUUUCCCAAUAAAGACGGCGAUGAAUCCUGUUCUUUUCAAUCAAACAUCCUCACCUUGGUAUCGCAUGAGCUCUGUGGGAAAAUGAGAAAAUAAAGGUAUCCUGUAGAGAAGAAAAUAACAUCCAGAGAGCGCUGUCAGCCGGCUGUCUCAUCAUAACUCACGACUGAAUUACACUUACUCUCACAUCAUUGGGUGACAGCUGGAGAUCCGAUUGAGAUACACCUGAGAGAGGGUUCGAAAAGUUAUCCGAGAACCUGCAGAGUGACAUUCACAAAGACACGAGAACUUAUCUGAGGAAAUCUGAGAUUAGAUAUGGACUGUUGUAUCUGCAACACGUGUCCAAAUGAUCAUGCAACUGAAGGUGUUGAGAGGAGAGCAAGGAUGGGAGCAAGAGGAGGAGAUGUGUGUGUGUCUGAAAAGCCAAAGGACAGCAUAAGUAUGACAAGAGAGAGGCUUUUAAGA